UUUUGCUGUUAUGAAUAGUGUAAUUGUAUUCCUUUCAGUCUCUUUUUUUCUUCUUCUUGUUCUUAGUAGUGAUUGUCCUUGGUGAUAGUUGACACGGAGGAGCGCCCACCAAAUGUUCGACAAAAGUCCCCAACCAUAAAACAAAUUACGCGAAAAAAGCUCCAUGGAAUUAGAAAGUCGUUUCCCCACAAGCCUGAAUUGAUGCUGCAGCCAUUUGGUCCACACUCACACCAGCAUUACACAUAUUUGCAAAAGCUCUCGUAUACCUCAACCCAUAU